GAGGCCUGUGGUAUCUUUGCAUUCCCCUUGAAAGCCGUUCCCAUGAAGAUACAGCAGGAUGUGAAGAAACCUGCCUCUCAUAGCCAGAUGCCCAUGGAAAAAAUGCUAAUUCACUGAGGGAGACAGAGGCUCUCACAUAUAGGACUUGGGCCUGGGAAUGGUGGUACAGAUAUUCCUCAGACAUUCAUCUUGUAAAAGUCACCCAUUCAGGGAGUAAAUUCCUGCAAGGAAAGAACUGGCUUUUGUGAUUCACCGCCCAUGAUGGCCUCUUUUUGGAUCCUUGUGGGAAAAUUGUACUACCUCCCACCCCACCAACUGUGAAGGAUUUUUGCGAAUUGCUUGUGAACGCACACCAGAAUAGAUCUAGUUUGUGGUUAGUGUAUUUAGUCUAGUUGCAAGAUAUUUAAGGAAGAUCUGCUGAAGGCAUACAAGCGCCGUUUCUAAGUUUAUCUAACUGAACAAAGUACUCAGUCUAUGUCCAUCUUGUAUAUCAGCAUCCUUGCUGAUUGCCUGAUUGACAACGGAAAGGUCAUUUUCUCCCAGUAUUUAUGAACUUCUUCAGCACAGCAUUUGAACACCACAAGGUAUGUUCUAAUGGGUGCCCUUACCCCAAGCUAAGUUUAAUCGCAGAGUCUGGAAGGGUAUGAAGAGAGUCAUCUCUGGAGUUCUCAAGAACCUAUGACCAUUAAAUGAAGGGGUUAAUGUCUCCAGGAGCAAACUGGCGACUCUUCAAGUGAGAACUCUCAGUCUGAGUCGGAAUGCUCCUCAACGUAUUGUACAGGAGAUGACAAACUCUUCUUUUUGAGCAGCAGACGUCAUAGAAGUGAUGGGUCUCACUACAGCAUGUGCAGCCAGUGAUUCAACUGAUUUCAGUACCAAGAUGUGUGUGAAAGUCCCA